UACGAAGGGGGGCUAGCGUUGCUCGGAAUCACUGGGCGUAAAGGGUGCGUAGGCGGGUUAUUAAGUCAGAGGUGAAAUCCUGGAGCUCAACUCCAGAACUGCCUUUGAUACUGAUAGUCUUGAGUAUGGGAGAGGUGAGUGGAACUGCGAGUGUAGAGGUGAAAUUCGUAGAUAUUCGCAAGAACACCAGUGGCGAAGGCGGCUCACUGGCCCAUUACUGACGCUGAGGCACGAAAGCGUGGGGAGCAAACAGG
rnacentral:rRNA from 1 species